GAUGAAGAACGUAGCGAAAUGCGAUACGUAAUGUGAAUUGCAGAAUUCCGUGAAUCAUCGAGUCUUUGAACGCACAUUGCGCCCCCUGGUAUUCCGGGGGGCAUGCCUGUCCGAGCGUCAUUGCUGCCCUCAAGCACGGCUUGUGUGUUGGGCCCCGUCCUCCGAUCCCGGGGGACGGGCCCGAAAGGCAGCGGCGGCACCGCGUCCGGUCCUCGAGCGUAUGGGGCUUUGUCACCCGCUCUGUAGGCCCGGCCGGCGCUUGCCGAUCAACCCAAAUUUUUAUCCAGGUUGACCUCGGAUCAGGUAGGGAUACCCGCUGAACUUAAGCAUAUCAAUAAGCGGAGGA
rnacentral:misc_RNA from 1 species